rnacentral:rRNA from 1 species
GCCAGACUCCUACGGGAGGCAGCAGUGGGGAAUAUUGGGCAAUGGGCGCAAGCCUGACCCAGCAACGCCGCGUGAAGGAAGAAGGCUUUCGGGUUGUAAACUUCUUUUCUCAGGGACGAAGCAAGUGACGGUACCUGAGGAAUAAGCCACGGCUAACUACGUGCCAGCAGCCGCGGUAAUACGUAGGUGGCAAGCGUUAUCCGGAUUUACUGGGUGUAAAGGGCGUGUAGGCGGGAAAGCAAGUCAGAUGUGAAAACCACGGGCUCAACCUGUGGCCUGCAUUUGAAACUGUUUUUCUUGAGUACUGGAGAGGCAGACGGAAUUCCUAGUGUAGCGGUGAAAUGCGUAGAUAUUAGGAGGAACACCAGUGGCGAAGGCGGUCAACUGGACAGCAACUGACGCUGAGGCGCGAAAGCGUGGGGAGCAAACAGGAUUAGAUACCCGGGUACG